rnacentral:rRNA from 1 species
GAUGAACGCUAGCGGCAGGCUUAACACAUGCAAGUCGAACGGCAGCACAGGUAGCAAUACUGGGUGGCGAGUGGCGCACGGGUGCGUAACGCGUAUGCAACCUACCUUUAACUGGGAGAUAGCCCGAAGAAAUUCGGAUUAAUACCCCAUAAUAUAUGUCUUUCGCAUGUUAGACAUAUUAAAGCUUCGGCGGUUAAAGAUGGGCAUGCGUAACAUUAGCUAGUUGGUAAGGUAACGGCCUACCAAGGCUACGAUGUUUAGGGGGCCUGAGAGGGUUAUCCCCCACACUGGAACUGAGACACGGUCCAGACUCCUACGGGAGGCAGCAGUGAGGAAUAUUGGUCAAUGGACGAAAGUCUGAACCAGCCAUGCCGCGUGCAGGAAGACGGCCCUACGGGUUGUAAACUGCUUUUGUAUAGGAAUAAACCCCCGAACGUGUUCGGGGCUGAAGGUACUAUACGAAUAAGCACCGGCUAACUCCGUG